AGCGCGGCUAGGUUUGGCCGCCGAACGCCUGCACCCCAUGACAGGCCCGCCGCGCUGCUUUCUGAUGUUCAUGGG
rnacentral:sRNA from 1 species